rnacentral:rRNA from 1 species
ACCGGGUGAGUAACACGUGACUAACCUACCCUUGAGUGGGGGAUAACCUCGGGAAACCGGGGCUAAUACCGCAUAAAAUUUUCGGGAUGAGAAGCCGGAAAUCAAACGAGCAAUUCGCUUUUGGAGGGGGUCGCGGCUGAUUAGCUAGUUGGUGGGGUAACGGCCCACCAAGGCUUUGAUCGGUAGCCGGCCUGAGAGGGCGCACGGCCACACUGGAACUGAAACACGGUCCAGACUCCUACGGGAGGCAGC